AUGGACGAAAGUCUGACCGAGCAACGCCGCGUGAGUGAAGAAGGUUUUCGGAUCGUAAAACUCUGUUGUUAGAGAAGAACAAGGAUGAGAGUAACUGUUCAUCCCUUGACGGUAUCUAACCAGAAAGCCACGGCUAACUACGUGCCAGCAGCCGCGGUAAUACGUAGGUGGCAAGCGUUGUCCGGAUUUAUUGGGCGUAAAGCGAGCGCAGGCGGUUUCUUAAGUCUGAUGUGAAAGCCCCCCGGCUCAACCGGGGAGGGUCAUUGGAAACUGGGAGACUUGAGUGCAGAAGAGGAGAGUGGAAUUCCAUGUGUAGCGGUGAAAUGCGUAGAUAUAUGGAGGAACACCAGUGGCGAAGGCGGCUCUCUGGUCUGUAACUGACGCUGAGGCUCGAAAGCGUGGGGAGCAAACAGGAUUAGAUACCCUGGUAGUCCACGCCGUAAACGAUGAGUGCUAAGUGUCGGAGGGUCUCCGCCCUUCAGUGCUGCAGCUAACGCAUCAAGCACUCCGCCUGGGGAGUACGACCGC
rnacentral:rRNA from 1 species